UGCAACUUUUGGCCCAAAGGUUUGAAUAAUUAAAUUCAAACCUAUAGUUUUUUUUAAUAUAAUUUUGGGACUCACAAUCCCAUUUUUAUAUUAUUUUUCUCUCUUUCUCUCACGUUGCUCGGCGUUUUCUCGCAAGGGGGAUUAUUUUCUUUUUCUUCAGAUUAUAUUGACAAAGAUAGUGGUGAAAAAGGAGUUGUGAAGGGGAACUUGUUAUUCAAGACACAAGGAGCGAGUCCGGCCGAGAAAGCACCAGAGGUGUAAUUAUGGUGUAUGAGACACCAUCUUUUAUGUUGCUUCUUAUUUUGGAUUAUACAAUGUAUCUUGUGCCAACUUAGGACAUAUCUUCUUUGUGGAGCAUGUAAACUCUAAUCCUUUUUAUUAAAUGCAUUUAUAUGUUCAAGAGGAUUAUGUCUGUCCCUUUUAAUUUAUGACCUGAUUUGAAUAACAUGUUAUGAGGAUCAUGUCUGUCCCUCAUGGUUCUAAUUACUUUUUAAAAUAUUUUAAGACCUGUGAUAUAUU